AACCAAUAUAAUUGGUGACUCAUAAUAACUUUACGGAUCACAUUAAAUGUGACAUAUCAUUCAAGUUUCUGACCUAUCAGCUUUAGACGGUAGGGUAUUGGCCUACCGUGGCGAUGACGGGUAACGGGGAAUUAGGGUUCGAUUCCGGAGAGGGAGCCUGAGAAACGGCUACCACAUCUAAGGAAGGCAGCAGGCGCGCAAAUUACCCAAUCCUAAUACAGGGAGGUAGUGACAAGAAAUAACAAUACAGGACUUUUUGGUUUUGUAAUUGGAAUGAGUUAAGUAUAAACCCCUUUACAAGUAUCAAUUGGAGGGCAAGUCUGGUGCCAGCAGCCGCGGUAAUUCCAGCUCCAAUAGCGUAUAUUAAAGUUGUUGCAGUUAAAAAGCUCGUAGUUGGAUUUCUGUUAAUAAUUUAUAUAAAAUAUUUUGAAUAUUUAUAUAACAUUAACAUAAUUCAUAUUACUAUAUUUUUUAGUAUAUGAAAUUUUACUUUGAGAAAAUUAGAGUGCUUAAAGCAGGCAUAUGCCUUGAAUACUCCAGCAUGGAAUAAUAUUAAAGAUUUUUAUCUUUUUUAUUGGUUCUAAGAUAAGAAUAAUGAUUAAUAGGGACAGUUGGGGGCAUUUGUAUUUAACAGUCAGAGGUGAAAUUCUUAGAUUUGUUAAAGACAAACUAAUGCGAAAGCAUUUGCCAAGGAUGUUUUCAUUAAUCAAGAACGAAAGUUAGGGGAUCGAAGACGAUCAGAUACCGUCGUAGUCUUAACCAUAAACUAUGCCAACUAGAGAUUGGAGGUUGUUCCU
rnacentral:rRNA from 1 species